GUCUGGCCUGCUCACUGAUUAUUUUAAAGAGCCGCGGUAUUUUGACCGUGCAAAGGUAGCAUAAUCAUUAGUCUCUUAAUUAGAGGCUGGAAUGAAUGGCUUGACGAGAAAUCAACUGUCUCUUAAUAAAUUUUAGAAUUUAACUUUUGAGUCAAAAGGCUUAAAUUUUUCUUUAGGACGAGAAGACCCUAUAGAGCUUGACAUUUUAUUUAUAUAUAAUUUUAAGAUGGUCUUUUUAUAUUUAAUGAUAAUGUUUUGUUGGGGUGACAUGAAGAAUUAAUAAACUCUUCAUUAUUAAAUCAUUAAUUUAUGUUUAUUUUGAUCCAUAAUUUAUGAUCAAAAGAUUAAGUUACCUUAGGGAUAACAGCGUAAUUGUUUUUGAGAGCUCAUAUCGACAAAGCAGAUUGCGACCUCGAUGUUGGAUUAAGAAAAGUUUUGGGUGCAGUAGCCCAGUAAUUAGGUCUGUUCGACCUUUAAAUUCUUACG
rnacentral:rRNA from 1 species